CUGUUGUUCAUGGCGAGCCGGCGCAGCGCCAUGUAGGUCCGCGUGGGCAGUCGGGUCCGAUCGUAGAGACGCCCAGCGCCCAUGUUGUCAAAGCGCGCCACGGGACGGCACCAGCGCAGCAGUUGUUCCGCCAGAGAGGCAGCCAUUUCCGUUUGGGGAUCGCACCAGCAUUGUCCAUCGGCGCACCACACACUCUUCUCACGCGUGCCGUCCAGGAUGUAGACGUCGCCGCGGUCCGCGCGCACCCCGAGAGCAACAGCGCACAAGACGCGCGCAAGGCAGUUAGCACGUACGUUGCCCUUUUCGUACAUGGCGGGCACGAUGACACGGUGCCACAGGUCAACGUCCGAGGGAAAGUAUGCGUCUGCCGCUUUCAGCAGCGCGCAUGCCGAACGCAGGUGGUCGCGCUCGGCAAGGCACAGCGCAAACGCGCGCGCCAUGACCUUUGCGUUCACCCGGAAAAAGUGCCUGUCGAGCAGAAAGAGCAACAGUCUGAAAUGGCGGCCUGCGACGAUGGCGUUAAAGAGCGCGCCGCGAUCGGCGGGACCAAACGCAGAGCGCAUAUGAUCGCAUAUCCACCCGAACGAGCGCUCGGCCUUAUUUUCGGCGUCCGCGGCGGCACGGGACAUCUUGUUGACGGCCGUGACAGUGAGUCCCGCGAUGGACUGCAAUAGCCAUUUUUUAAAAUGCGCUCUGACCCAAUCGAGCGUGGAGACGGCGCCCUGCGCCAUUGCCUCGGCAAAGACGUCCGAGGGCUUAAAGGCGCUGCACUUGGCGCGCAUUCGAUCGAGCACCCAGUGGCGACCAUACUUGACCGCCCCGGCGAUCGUCUUGGAUGCGAGUCGCUCUUCCGUUAUUUGCGAUAUGUCGUAACGGGGUUCACAAUCGGCGAUGCAGUCGAGGCAAGCCGGACCCGAAGCCCGCAGGGCCAUCUUCCAGUGUCUGCGAUGGACGAUCCCGUCCUGCGCUUGGAUGAUUUGACGCAAGAGGCCGUCGUGCUCCUUUUCGAUCGCAGAAUCAACGAGUCGACCGACGGCCACGGUGAUCCGGCUCCAGUUGUAGAGCCGUGCCUGAAGGGAACGAUAGGUAGGGCCUCGCGUGAGACGCUUGAGACCGCACGCCAACACAUCAAACAGUCGGCCCUCGGUGGCAGAAUCGGCGUCGCGCGCUCUGACCUCACAAACGUACUCGACGACAUGCGCGGCGGGCGACAUGAGCAUGACCAGCGCGGCGUGAUGGCGAUGCGCACGGGGGACGUGCGUCGAAAACCAUCCCACAAAGGUCUCUGGAUCUGCGUGCCAUCCGCCGGCGCCAUGUGCGAUCAUGGUGACGAGGGCUGACAGGCACACGGCGCGACCGUCCAUGAGGGCCCGGUACCACGGAUGUAGAGGCCACGGGCGCGCCGUCUGACACCGCCACGGCGGCGCGUUCAAGGCCGCGGCGAAAUCGGGUCCCGAUCGCUCCAGGAUGGCACGCCACAGAGCGCACGUGGCUCUGGCUGCAAAGCGAAAGCGAGGGUCUAAAAACAAGAGGCCCUUUCGGUCAUCACACCCGUUGAGAAUUUUAUGCCACAACUCGACCGGCAAAAGGUCGGCCGGGUCCGCACCGGUGCCUGCACGGUCGACAUCCGCCGCCACCGCCGUCGUCAUUCGUAUUUUCUUUUCCUAGACACACAACAACCACUAUGUGAAAACUUGGGCACGCGCAGUGCGAGACCGUCUUGUCCAAUUGCGCCCUCGCACGCGCGCGCGCACCAAACAAGCCGCAGAGCGACCAAUUACCGCUGUUUUAUCAUUUUUUUUUGGUUACGUGUCGACAACCCGUAAAAAAAGAAAGAAAAUGCC
rnacentral:lncRNA from 1 species